rnacentral:rRNA from 1 species
AAAUUGAAGAGUUUGAUCAUGGCUCAGAUUGAACGCUGGCGGCAGGCCUAACACAUGCAAGUCGAGCGGUAGCACAGAGAGCUUGCUCUCGGGUGACGAGCGGCGGACGGGUGAGUAAUGUCUGGGAAACUGCCUGAUGGAGGGGGAUAACUACUGGAAACGGUAGCUAAUACCGCAUAACGUCGCAAGACCAAAGUGGGGGACCUUCGGGCCUCAUGCCAUCAGAUGUGCCCAGAUGGGAUUAGCUAGUAGGUGGGGUAACGGCUCACCUAGGCGACGAUCCCUAGCUGGUCUGAGAGGAUGACCAGCCACACUGGAACUGAGACACGGUCCAGACUCCUACGGGAGGCAGCAGUGGGGAAUAUUGCACAAUGGGCGCAAGCCUGAUGCAGCCAUGCCGCGUGUGUGAAGAAGGCCUUCGGGUUGUAAAGCACUUUCAGCGGGGAGGAAGGCGUUAAGGUUAAUAACCUUGGCGAUUGACGUUACCCGCAGAAGAAGCACCGGCUAACUCCGUGCCAGCAGCCGCGGUAAUACGGAGGGUGCAAGCGUUAAUCGGAAUUACUGGGCGUAAAGCGCACGCAGGCGGUCUGUCAAGUCGGAUGUGAAAUCCCCGGGCUCAACCUGGGAACUGCAUUCGAAACUGGCAGGCUAGAGUCUUGUAGAGGGGGGUAGAAUUCCAGGUGUAGCGGUGAAAUGCGUAGAGAUCUGGAGGAAUACCGGUGGCGAAGGCGGCCCCCUGGACAAAGACUGACGCUCAGGUGCGAAAGCGUGGGGAGCAAACAGGAUUAGAUACCCUGGUAGUCCACGCCGUAAACGAUGUCGAUUUGGAGGUUGUGCCCUUGAGGCGUGGCUUCCGGAGCUAACGCGUUAAAUCGACCGCCUGGGGAGUACGGCCGCAAGGUUAAAACUCAAAUGAAUUGACGGGGGCCCGCACAAGCGGUGGAGCAUGUGGUUUAAUUCGAUGCAACGCGAAGAACCUUACCUGGUCUUGACAUCCACAGAACUUUCCAGAGAUGGAUUGGUGCCUUCGGGAACUGUGAGACAGGUGCUGCAUGGCUGUCGUCAGCUCGUGUUGUGAAAUGUUGGGUUAAGUCCCGCAACGAGCGCAACCCUUAUCCUUUGUUGCCAGCGGUUCGGCCGGGAACUCAAAGGAGACUGCCAGUGAUAAACUGGAGGAAGGUGGGGAUGACGUCAAGUCAUCAUGGCCCUUACGACCAGGGCUACACACGUGCUACAAUGGCAUAUACAAAGAGAAGCGACCUCGCGAGAGCAAGCGGACCUCAUAAAGUAUGUCGUAGUCCGGAUUGGAGUCUGCAACUCGACUCCAUGAAGUCGGAAUCGCUAGUAAUCGUAGAUCAGAAUGCUACGGUGAAUACGUUCCCGGGCCUUGUACACACCGCCCGUCACACCAUGGGAGUGGGUUGCAAAAGAAGUAGGUAGCUUAACCUUCGGGAGGGCGCUUACCACUUUGUGAUUCAUGACUGGGGUGAAGUCGUAACAAGGUAACCGUAGGGGAACCUGCGGU